GACUAAAUUACAUCAGGGAAUAAUAGAGAAGGCCCUUCUAAGUUGCUAUCAAUGUCUUUAAUUAUAUCGAGACUCUCAACUAUAACUUUGUUAUCGUGUUCCAAUGCUGGCACCUUUUUUGCAGAAUACACUUCUUUGCACCAAAGAGGCUUAUUUUCUAGGUCGAUAGCAACUAAUGCAAUCUUUUCUUUUCUUGUAGUCCCUUGUGUAAUUCCUUGUAAUCCAAGCCCGUUGAGCGAAUGGACUUCUGUAGCUUUAUGUUCAACCUGGUAGUUCCAUCAAAAAGAGGAGGGCGGGUGGAAGUAGAAUUGAGUGAUGGAGGAAGAACCUCUUGAGCGUUCCUGUUCUCGGUUGCCAUAGCCAAACUUGACCAAGACCGACUAUCAAAGUGAAACGGUGGGAGUUUGGGCAAGUGAGAGUGAAAGAUUAUAAACGGUAGCUAAGGUCAUAUCAUUAUCAUAUAUCGCGAGUUGGAACCUGUUCUU
rnacentral:misc_RNA from 1 species